AUGCAGCUGAUGAGUCCGGAAUAGGAUAAAACGCACGUCCUGGAU
rfam:Schistosoma rodhaini strain Burundi genome assembly, scaffold: SROB_scaffold0000113